rnacentral:rRNA from 1 species
UACGUAGGGGGCAAGCGUUGUCCGGAUUUAUUGGGCGUAAAGAGCGUGUAGGCGGUUUGGUAGGUCCGCUGUGAAAACUCGAGGCUCAACCUCGAGACGCCGGUGGAAACCAUCAGACUAGAGUCCGGAAGAGGAGAGUGGAAUUCCUGGUGUAGCGGUGAAAUGCGCAGAUAUCGGGAGGAACACCAGUAGCGAAGGCGGCACUCUGGGCCGGUACUGACGCUGAGGAGCGAAAGCGUGGGGAGCGAACAGG